AACGAACGCUGGCGGCAUGCCUAACACAUGCAAGUCGAACGAGACUUUCGGGCGUAGUGUCGCACGGGUGCGUAACGCGUGGGAAUCUGCCCUUAGGUUCGGACUAACUCCUCGCCAGGGGUUCUAAUACCGGAUACUGUCUUCGAACAAAAGAUUUAUCGCCUUGGGUUGGGCCCGCGUUGGAUUGGCUUGUUGGUAGGGUAAAACCCUACCAUGGAGACGAUCCUUAGCUGGUCGGAGAGGAUGAUCAGCCACACUGGGACUGAGAAACGGCCCAGACUCCUACGGGAGGCGGCGGGGGGGAAAAUGGGACAAGGGGCGAAAGCCGGAGCCAGCAAGGCCGGGGGAGUGAUAAAGGCCUUAGGGUUGUAAAGCUUGUUUACCCGGGAGGAUAAUGACAGUAGCGGGAGAAUAAGCCCCGGCUAACUCCGUG
rnacentral:rRNA from 1 species